CUGGCUGCACCCAUGGUGUGUGGAAGUUCCUAGGCCAGGGAUCAGACCUGCACCACAGUAGCCACUCAAGACGCUGUGGUGACAAUGCCAGAUUCUUAACCCACUGUGCCCCAAGAGAACUCCAACAAGCAAUUUCUUAACAAUUACGUUGUGGCAAAGGCUUGGAGAGAACUGCUGAAUGAAAUAGUAUUUAUUAUAGGGAAGCAACAUAUGCUUAUUUAAGUGUUUUGAAUAAUACACCAAGUAUACAAAUUUAAAACUAUAACACUGUUAAGAGCUUGGAUGGUAUCCUUCUAGAUUUAUUUAUUUAUAUUUAAAUGCAUCUACUUAAAAUAGAUAUACAGUGUAAUGUUACUAUGGAUGUCAUUUGCUACUUUUUUUUUCACUUGAGAUAAGUUGAAGACACUGUUCUAUGACUGUAUAUGUGGAUUAGACAUAUUAUUUUUAAUAGCUAUCUAAUAUCCCAUUACAUGGAUAUUUAUUUACUAACCCCCUGUUUUUAGGCAUUUAGGUUAUUUCUAUUAUUUAAAAAAUUACAAAAUAUUAUUUUAGUAAACAUCUUUGUAUGUACAUAUUUACACACAUUCAAGUAUAUUUGAAUAGCGGACUCCUAAUUUAUAUUGACAUGUUGGCUGGAGAGCAUGAAACAUAGAAAAUGAGAUUUACAUUGAAAUUCGUUGUGGAAAUAAAUUUCAUCCCUAAACACUGAGUGUAACAUGGGAUUGAGAUGAAUAUUUUUGCCUGUCUUUUCUUCAUCUUUUGCUGUCUUUUAUGGCAAAAUCAUAGACUAUUUAAUUUUAAGAACUCUCUGCCUUUAAAUAUACUCAUGUUCUUUUUUGUCUAAAAAAUAAUGAAUGUAUACAUUGACCCAUCUGAUCCUGGUUGAGGGUCACAUAUUUACUGCUUAUAGCGUAUCUCAGGCAUCACUUAUCUUGUUUGGUUUUAUAUUCCCAGCAUGUGUCUGGCAAAUGGUAGGCAGUCACUACAUGUUUGUUAUUUAAUUGAAAGAUACAGCAAAGCUGGAAAAUUUCCAUAUGUCAUAAUGAAAUAAAAUUUUUUUCAGUGAAAUAAGAAUUGUAGAAGCAAGGGAAGUCUGGUUUUUUUUUUUUUUUUUUUUUUUUUUUAGGCUAGUAUAUAAAGCAACAAGAAAAUUUAAUAGAUACAUGAGAAUUUAAUUAACAAUAGAAUCAUGGUCCUUAUAUGCAUUAUUGCCUAAUGAUACUUCCUCUUUAGCUGAUUUGCUUCUAGCUUGAACUUUCAGAUCAUCUCGGAUUCACAUUAAAGCCUAUAGUUUUGUUAUAUCUUCUGAUCACCUCCACUCUGGGGAGCUUAGCUUGUCAGAAGAGCAGUGCCCUUGAGUUACAUAUGGAUAGACCAGGUAAAGGACUUCGGUUGCUAUAGUGAUUCUAUUUCUUAUAUCACUGUUGAUGCUGAGAGCUAUGUUUAUUUCAGCCGCAACAGCAGGAACCAAAGCUCCUCUCUGCACCAUUUACUUUAGAUAUUUCUACCAAAAGUUGACAGAUGAAAACCGUGGUUUGUAUGGUAUCACUUUUCUUUCUAAAUAAUGGCAAAAAACAAAUGAAUAACAAACUGCUAAACAAUUCCUUUACCCUUUGAAGUUAUGGGGAAGUUAGUAUCCCUUUGUGUUUCUUCUCUUUUUAUUUUGUCCAUUCAGGCAUUCGUGACAGUGUAAAAAUUCUUUUUAAUCUCUUUAACUGAUGCUAAAGCUGUUAGUCACACUUGUUGCUGAUAACGAUGAAUUUUAAACUUUUUAAGCAUAUGUCAAGUAUAUGUAGCAUUGCAACACAUUUUUAAAGCAAUCGUAGGCUAAUUGUUGCUUCACAACUCUACAUGGCUAUGGAGAAAUUAUGUCUGAAGGCCAUUUAAGAAAUUUGUUUCAGGAGUUCCUGUUGUGGCGCAGUGGUUAACAAAUCUGACUAGGAACCAUGAGGUUGCAGGUUCGGUCCCUGCCCUUGCUCUGUUGGUUAACGAUCUGGCGUUGCCAUGAGUUGUGGUGUAGGCUGCAGAUGCGGCUCGAAUCCCGCAUUGCUGUGGAUCUGGCGUAGGCCAGUGGCUACAGCUCCGAUUCGACCCCUAGCCUGGGAAUCUCCAUAUGCCAUGGGAGCAGCCCAAAGAAAUAGCAAAAAAAAAAAAAAAAAAAGGAAAUUUGUUUCAAAAUGCAUAUGAUGACUUCCACAUAAUUUUUAACCAUUUCAUAAUAUUUUGGAAUUGGAAUAUUCUAAUGUAAUGAUACAGGUUCUCUCACCCUUUACCUACAUCACUGAACAAUACAAAAUACACUCAUUCUACUGUUUUGUUUUUUUUUCAGUGUCAUGAAAAUCUUACAGUCCUAUAUUUUGAGUUGUUAUUUACACUUUGACAGUUAGUAUCUAGUGAAAAAAAUGGAAAGUAGUUUCAUGUGCAACUGUAAAAUAACAUAGCAGUCAUGCAUAAAAUCUUAUUGGAUGCUAAAAUCAUUUGUUUCUUUGCUCCUGUAAACCAGAGGCUAACUUUAGCCCUCAGGGCAAUUGUGUCUCUUAAAAUCUGUUUAAAACCGUUUUAUGAACCUAGAGUCUUAUUUACCAGUUAAGGAGCAGAUUGUAUAUUCAUAGCCUUUAGGGUCUCAGGAAAUGAUUCAAACUGCUUUUGGAAGUGAUGCAGUGAGCAAGAAAAUUCCCAUAACAAUUCUGGAAUGGUAGUAGUAAGAGCAGAUAAGAGCUGGGAAGACCUGUUCGUGGUGGGUCCAGGGCAGUAACUCACAGUUGGAAAGUAGUUGAAUUCUGCAUAUAUUUUGCAAGUAGCAUCUGUUGAAUUUCCUGAUGGAUGAGAUAAGGGGCAUGUAAUAGAAGGAUGAGUAUAACGUUUUUUGUUUUGUUUUGUUUUGCUUUGUUUUGCCUAAGCAUCUAGAAAGUUAGGGAUGCUCAUUAAAUAAGACAGUGAGUGGGCCACAGUGGCAGCCAUUCUAAACAAACACAAAUAUAAAUCACUAAAUGUUUUUUAUUCAUAUUCUUAUCACUUUUUAGUACAUCCUUUCUUGCCUCCUUCCUUCCUUUCUUUCUUUUGAGGUACCUGUGGCAUGUAGAAGUUCCCAGGCCACCUUAGUGACCUGAGCCACAGCAUAGAACCAGGGAACUCCUAUUUCAUCAUUUUAAUAAGAACCAUCUGGCCAGGUCUCACGGUGGCCUAUUUCAAGUUAGCAAUAUGAUGUCACUGAAAGCGGAGUUGGGAAGAGAUAUGUGUAAUCAGCUCUCAAGAACAUCUCUCUCAAUAGAUGCAGAAAAAGCAUUUGACAAAGUCCAACAUCCAUUCAUGGUAAAUACUCUUACCAAAGUGGAUAUAGAAGGAACAUAAUAAAAACAUAAUAAAAACUGUUUACAACAAACCCACAGAAAAUGUAAUACUCAAUGGAGAAAAGCUGAAGGCCUUCCCACUAAAAAUCUGGAACAAGACAAGUAUGCCCACUCUCACCACUGUUACUCAACAUAGUAUUGGAAGUCCUAGCCACAGCAAUCAGACAAACAAAAGAAAUAAAAGGUAUCCAAAUUGGAAGAGAAGGGGUAAAAUUGUCACUGUAUGCAGGUGACAUGAUACUAUAUAUAGAAAACCCUAAGGACUCAACCCCAAAACUGCUUGAACUGAUCAACAAAUUCAGUAGAGCAGCAGGAUAAAAGAUUAACAUUCAGAAAUCAGUCACAUUUCUGUGUAUUAACAAUGAAAUAUUAGAAGAGGAAUAUAAAAAUACAAAACCUUUUAAAAUUGCACCCCCAAAAUCAAAUACCUGGGAAUAAACCUGACCAAGGAGGUGAAAGAGUUAUAUGCUAAGAACAAUAAAACAUUAAUCAAGGAACUUAAAGAGGUUUCAAAGAAAUGGAAAGAUAGUCCAUGUGCCUGAGUUGGAAAAAUUAAUAUUGUAAAAAUGGCCAUACUACCCAAAGUAAUUUACAGAUUCAGUACAAUCCCUAUCAAAUUAUCCAUGACAAUUUUCACAGAGCUAGAACAAACAAUCCAAAAAUUUAUAUGCCAAAGCAAUCCUGAGGAAUUAGGACUCUCCUCCUGAAUGAAAUAAGUCAGAAGGAGAAAGACAAAUACCCUAUGCUAUCACAUAUGUGGAAUCUAAUAUAUGGCACAAAUUGAACCUUCCACAGAAAAGAAAAUCAUGGACUUGGAGAAUAGACUUGUGGUUGCCAAGGGGGAGGGGGAGGGAGUGGGAUGGAUGGGGUACUUGGGGUUAACAGAAGCAGACUAUUGCCUUUGGAAUGGAUUAGCUAUGAGAUCCUGCUGUGUAGCACUGGGAACUAUGUCUGGUCGCUUGUGAUAGAGUGUGAUAAUGUGAGAAAAAAGAAUGUAUACAUGUAUGUUUGACUAGGUCACCUUGCUGUACAGUAGAUAAUUGACAGAACACUGUAAAUCAACUAAAAUAGAAAAAAUAAAAAUCAGUAUAAAGAAAAACAAGCAAAAAAAAAAAGGACAUCUAUCAGACUGUGUCUAACCCAUGUAAAUCAGAACCAAUCUUUUCAAUAUUAACAUUUCUGGGACCUCCUGUGACUUAGGUGACACAUUAAUUUGUUACAUAUGGCCUACAUCUUAUGUCAGUAUAUGUGUUAGACUUUAGACUAUAAUUUACCUGUUACAGUUUGUUUAGCUGGGGCUUUAUUUAUGGUAAAUGAUGUCUUGAUAGGAAAUUAACUGCAGGAUAAUCCAGGGGUCAGAGUCAUUUUUUCAUUUUCUUUUUAGUACUUACUGACUGCUGAUAAAUAUUGAUAACUUUAUUUUUGCUUCUAAGACAUUUUAGUCUAAGCUGGUGACACUGGAAAUCUGUAUAUUCUCUUAAUUUUAAUGCAUUAAAAUACUAAUUUAGCAAAUUCAUCUUAGAGUUCAAUUAACAGUAUAUUGGUUUUAUAGUAUAAAGUCUGACUUUAUGAAAAAUGCUGAUAUGUUUAACUUAAUAGAAGGUCUUUUAUUAUAUGUGGUGGUCGUGGUGAUGUUUUUCAUCAACUGUGCUGUGUUAAAUUCUAUCUUGAAUAUUAAGCCUUUAGCUCACAUUUUGCUGGAAUAUACCCUGGUCCUGUAAUCCUUUAAAGACAAAUUGGAUGAUAUAAAUUUAGUACAAAUCUGAGCAGCCCUGGGGGUAUUAAUUAUAUUUCACAAUGAACUCAAGCCCAGAUAUACAUUUCUCAAUUGCCAUUUUCAUGGAAAGUAAUUACACAAGAUUGGUAAUUAUAUGAGAUGCUAUAUUUAUUAGAUUUGUUAUAUUAUGAGAAUGACUGAGGAAAAUGGAUUUUUGUUUUCUGUGUUUCAUGAGACAUAACACACUAUCAUCAGACUUUAAAAUCUUAUUUUUAUAUAAUUUAAAACUAUUUGUACUAGAGUAAGUAAUUUUAAAUAGACGUAAAUGGACAUAUAGUUAGAUGCUCAGAUACUAAUUGUACAGUUCAACAAGCUUUGACGAUUUUAAGAACCCAAAUAACCAUCACCCAACCAUAGACCAAUACUGUCCAAUAUAACUUUCUAUGAUGUAGAAAUGUUCUCUGUGUUGGCUCAUAUAGUAGCCACUACCUACAUGUGAUUUUUAAGCUUUUGAAAUGUGACUAGUCUAAGUAACUGAACUUUUAAUUUUAAAUCAUUUAAAUUUUAUUUAUAUGGGCACAUGCGUCAGUGGCUACUGUAUGGAACAAUGAAGCCCUAGAUAGAUCUCAGC
rnacentral:lncRNA from 1 species